UGAUUAACCCAAACAAAGGAAAUCCAGGUCAUGUGACAUGAUUAACCAAAACAUGAAAUCUGGGUCAUGUGACAUGAUUAACCCAAACACAGGAAAUCCAGAUAAUGUGACAUGAUUAACCCAAACACAGGAAAUCCAGAUCAUGUGACAUGAUUAACCCAAACACAGGAAAUCCAGAUCAUGUGACAUGAUUAAACCAAACACAGGAAAUCCAGAUGAGACAGUUGAAUGGGAGAUAGGAUGGGUCGAUGGAGAGGUGAACGCAUGGUGGAUAGAUGGACACACCGAUAGACAGAUGAGUGGACGGAGGAUGGAUAUGCCAUUGAUCAUCCUCUGCACCAGGGACAGCGUUUCCAGACGGCUGCUCCACUUCAAAGUGUUCCUACCUGCUCAGAGAUGAAAGACAAACUCUAUUUAACUAUCAAGUUUGUCUCCUUUAACCCUUCGUGGACACCUGUAACAUCUCUAUGUUGAUGUCUAACAUCUAACGCUAUAAGGACGGAUGUAGCCAUUCACGAGUGGCCAUGGAAUUUGAGUCGUCAGAAUAGAAACACAAUGUUCCCCAGUGACAUUAGCUAUCACUAUGAACAGAAGGCCUUGGCAUGGAACACAUAGAGAAAAUAUUUUUCCAAUCAGAAAGGACGAGCGAGAGAGAGAGCUGGAGAGAGGUUUGUAUCUCACGUAUUUGUUAUGCACUACCAAGUCAAAGCCCUGCCUUUAUCCGCCACAAACACACACCUCCUGNNNNNNNNNNCAGCUUAUGGUAGAGAAAUUAACAUUCAAUUCUCUGGCAACAGCUCUGGUGGACAUUCUUGCAGUCAGCAUGCCAAUUACACGCUCCCUCAAAACUUGAGACAUAUGUAGCAUUGUGUAACAAAACUGCACAUUUUAGAGUGUCCCUUUAUUGUCCAGAGCACAAGGUGCACUUGUAUAAUCAGCUACUUGAUAUGCCACACCUGUUAGGUGGAUGGAUUAUCUUGGCAAAGGAGAAAUGCUCACUAGCAGGGAUUUAAAGAAAUUUGUGCACAUAAUUAGAGAGAAAUAAGCUUUUUAUCCGUAUGGAAUAUUUCUGGGAUCUUUUAUUUCAGCUCAUGAAACAUGGGACCAACACUUUACAUGUUGCGUUGAUAUUUUUGUUCAGUUGAGUUUUCCAAAAACACCUUGCAGGUUUUACUUAGAUGUUAAGGGCAAGUAGCAGGGAGGUGGUCUGGAGGGAGAGGGGGAUGGCGGAAUAGAGAGGGAAAAGAGAGACAGAUUGCCGUGAUCCUAUUUUCCAAAAACACCUCCCAGAUGUUCCCACCGGUCACCUGCUCCAAAAUGUCUGGCCGCCAAACAAGUGAUUGGGUGGAGCUAAAAGGGCUCUGUCUCCACAGUGAACUCUUCAUUUAAGGCCUUGGAGAGGGAACCAGAGCGCCCCUGACACGGGUGUCACUGCUGCGACCAUUGCUCAAGAGGGUGACAUUUUCAGCUGUGCAGGUGUAAUGACGGAGCACGGUGGAAAAUGAGAAACUAACCAGGGGAAUAACAGAAAGAAAGGAGGAGGGAGAUAGGGGGAAAACUCUGAUAGCAACUAACAGACUGUAGAUGCCAACACCUCACUCUCUCACACACCUAUCCCAGCCUGCUCUCCUCUCCUUCAGUGGCUGACACUAACAGUCCAAGUGGUUUAUGGGGCUCUGCUCCUGUCUCAGAAGGCGACUUUGGGAUGAGACCCUCCAUUCCCAUGAAGAGAUUGAGGGUCUAACCCAGUGGUGGGGAUACUGCAUGUGUGUUAAACUGACAUCAUCACCCAGAUCCGUUUUAAACGUGUUGUGUUAACAACUUCUAACGUGUUUGAGAUGCUCAAAAAGUUUAGUAAGCCUUGUAAGGCAUCCUCUUAUUUACCGAUUAACUCUCAGAAAAUGUUAUUAGUCACAAACUACACAGGCACAAGCACUGUGACCUUGGCACUCAUCAUCGAAAAAUGCAUAAUAACAGCCCGAUAAUAGAUUUACCUGCCAACUCCUAUUUUGACUCAAGUUUUGACUCGAGGGUCACAUCAUUUUAAAUGUAGAAGGAACUGUUGUUUUGACACCCAUGGCUCCUCGUUGCUUAACUGAGAAAUAUUUUGCAGUUUGACUUAAUGAGCUUCAUUAAAUUAUGACUCAUACGCCUAUGAGGUUGAAUGGCUCUUAUUUCCAUAUUUUCCCCUCUCUUUUUUACGCUGGUAAUCCAUCUUCUCUGUUUUUCAGAGUUCUGACAGUGUCUGGC
rnacentral:lncRNA from 13 species